AAAAUGAAAGUUGAAAAAGUUUCCAUUUUUGGAUAUUUAAAAGAAACUGAAAUUUCAAACUAAUUAGUAGUUAUUGCUUUUUUAUAAGUUAAUUAAAAAAAUUUAUAAGGAUAUAAGUAAUAGUGUACCUUUUGCACAAGGGUCCAACAAGUUAAUUUAUAUAGCAAGUCAAAAUGAGACGUAAAGAAAUUAAGUUUGAAAAAUAGCUAAUAGUUAUAUGAAUUAAACCCGAAACCAAAGGAUUUAACCGUGAACAAGCCGAAAAUAAGUUUUAUUGGAGGGCUGAACCAAUAUUUGUUGCAAUAAAUUUGGAUGAUUUACGGUUCGGAGUGAAAAGCUAAUCGACUUUGGUGAUAGCUGGUUUUCUGCGAAAACUAUUUAGGUAGUGUGUUAUUAAUAAAUAAUAAAUUAGGUAAAGUACUUAUUAAUCUAGGGGGAAUUUUUAAUUUCUUUGAAGUUAGUAAAACUAAAAAUGAAUUUUAUAUUAAAUUGUAGCAGACAGACAUAUGUACGCGAAGGCCAUAUGUCAAAA
rnacentral:rRNA from 1 species